CCUACCCCCUCACCCUCCUCCCCGUCUCUCUCUCCCAGCUCUCCACCGCCGCCGCCUCCCCCUCUACCUCCCCGUCUGCCUCCACCGCUGCUCUCCAUCGCCGCCGCUGCCGCCGCAGACCCACUCGCUCCCAAGGCAUCCAGAUCUGGCGCGGCCGGCCUGGGCACGCGGCCACGCGGCCCAGCAUGGCCGACGUCGGCGUCCCGCGGCCCCGCAUGUGCCGGCCUCGGCGCCCGGCGGUCGCGAAGGCGCACCACCCAGGAUCCUCGGCCCGCGGCUGCGUCCGGUGGCGCGCGGCCUCGGCGCCUGCGAGGACCAGGUCCCGGUCCACCGCGUCCUCCUUGGCGGUCUGCGAGAAACGCGGCAUCGAGACCAGAUCGACGUGCCGCAUCGUGCUCCUCUUCUCCCCUCCCUCACACUUUUCUCCUUUGCCCCCGAUUCCUGCCGAGCUUCCCCUGCAACCCGCUUCUAACCUCGCGCGUCCUGCGGCGGCAGCGAAAUGGCGGAGCUGAACUGGAUCUUGGAGAGGGAGCAGAGGCAGAUCGACCAGAUCCUGGAGCUGGACAUGGAAGAGCUCCAGUUCGAGGCCGGAGGUCGAUGAUGUCGGCUCAUCCUCCACCGACGUCGACACCUUCCUCAGCUCAUACGAUGAACACCUCUAUUGGAGCUCAAGCAAAUCACUGGCAAGGAUGGAGUGGAUGCCGGAAUUGGUGAGACGUCGACAAGGUCCAGGAGUAUCAGGCUAGGCCUCUUUGCUCCAUCAAGGAUCACAAGGCUUUGAGUGCAGGUACUCUCACAUCUCAGCUUGACCUAAUCGAAGGGCUUCUUGGUAUCUGCUAUCUACAUUUAGGCAGGCGCGUCAGCCAACACAGGAUAUUGAUUUCCUGCAUGUACCUGCUUAUUAGCUUGUGCUUUGUGGUUAUCUGCUUUUUCAUUUGGUGCUUUAAUUCAACAACCUGUGUUUUUCUUGUGAUGCUCUUUCGCUGCUUGUUUUCAAGUGGGGUUUGUAGAGAAAGGCCCUUGGCUGAUUGGAUGAACAAGGAGGGAAUUAGUUCCACAUUAGCCUAGCGGGUUGUUGUUCUAAAUAACUGUGAGGUAAUCUGAAAUAGCAGCAAGCUCGACAUAAGGAACUGCUGUCAGGCUCAAUUGUCUUAGGAAACACGUAAUAGUAAUGAUGUCAACUCUUCUUUACCAUUGAGCCAGUGAUGUUUAUUGUCUACUUUAAGAAGAGAAUUCUCAGUUUGAUUUGCUUAUCAUUUUUUUUUGCUUCGAAAUUGCAGAGCUGGAUGCUUUGGAGUCUGAUAGGGAGUUUGAGUCUGCUGCAGUGCUGCCAUAUCUUCAAUCAAAAACUGAUUUUACUACCGACCUCAAUUUACCUGCCGGCCUGCAGCAGUCGAAGCAGGUGGACAGGAGGAUGAACUAGGAUUGCCAGUGGUGCCUCGAGCAUCACUUCACUGUUAGAAUGAAUAAUUGUCUAGGAAGAACGAAUGAUCGCACAAUAGCUAUGAGAGGCUUCAGAAUUUUAAAACUGGCUGAAACUCCCAGUUUUAUCAUGACGAUUUUUUGGUUUUCCCCACUUCUGACAGAGCAUGUAGUUGCUUGUGAGAAGAAAGAAUCUUGUUUUGUUUUCUGACAGGCACGAGAUGGUUGCAAGUGGCACCUGGCGUUUGACAACAGGAACUUCUUCAAAGCACAACCCAGGAAAGACGAGGUUCUCUUCAUUGUGGCCCAGUUUCCUACCAAGCCCUAUAAGUAUUCUCAAGUUGUAGGUGCAAGAGAGAAAAAUAAAUGGUGUCUCCGGCAUAAUGUAUUGCUGUCGAAAUGGUUGGAGUCGUGUGCUUGUGUUUGACCGCAGAAAACAAAUGAAUUCAAGGAUAGAUGUAUUCAAAUGUCAAUUUGAUGAAUGACAUUACUAAAGAAUCAAAUAUUUGAAGUGUUGGUUGAUGCACCAUGCCAAUUCGGAUCACGUUUCUAAAUAAUUUAGAUUCAUUCAUGUUAGAGACACUAAAUGAAAUUAAUGAUGGGGCGCGCAGAGCGCGCAUCAUGUUCUAGUACAGUACAUAUAAAGGACUCUAUUUGCUCGGCUCGAACUAGUACUUGUGCUCAGUACCUUGUUUGCCUUGAAGCUCGGCCGCUCAAGGGAGGGCCCAGGAAGACGCCGGGACCCGGCGAAGCCAAUCACCGCCCGCCGCCACCGCAGCUCCCGGACACGCCGCCCGUGGUCCCGGCCCUGGCCGCGCUCGACGUCGGCCCGCCGGGAUUCCGCGCCAGCCGCCAGGUACCCGCCCACACCGCCACUCCCUGGGAGCUCCCAUACCGACGAGGAGGGGUUCAUGCUCAGCUCCAGCGCCGCGCGCCACUAGGCGGCCAAGGGGGGCAUUGUAUAUUUGUAUCUGCAACUGCAGCCGCUCUGACGCCGCGACGACCGGCGCGGCUGGCGAGGACGCCGAGAUCCUCAAGAUCUUGGCCAUCUGGAAGAUGCGGCUCGUCCUCCCCGCCGCAUGGGCCAGCAACUUCUUCUACACCUACCAGUUUCAACAAUGUCAGAUGCUCGGCUCCACCGGCACGGCAUCGGGUGAUUCCUCGACUUGUGCUUAGCCAACCGCAGGAAUUGGCGAAUUGGCCGAUCCGGGGAUUCCUUAGAACGGCAAUCUUGGGAGGCGGCUUGGCGAACCAGCUCAAGUACACUCAUGGCGAAUUGGUCGAACGUAUCGUAUCGAUUUCAAGGACGGCCACCGAUAUGAUAUGCCGGGCCAUUCGUUCCACCGAUAUGAUAUGCCGGGCCAUUCGUUCCUGCUCUAUUUCAGCUAUGGCCUGCUGGAUGCCAUGUUCCAGAGCCAUCUUCUGGAUGGAUCAUUGGCGCCCUCGCAAAUGAUUCCCAAAUCCUCAGCAGGUGAACAUCCUAAGACCAAGGAGACUAACUGCAAGAACAAGGUGUGCAGGAAGCACACUCUGCAAAAAUGCAACUCAGUAUAAAAAAGGGUAUGGAUAUGGUAGUCAGACCAAGCCUAUCCUCCAGAAGGUUUGUUGAGGAUUGAUUCAAAAUGAAUGGCUUCUUAUGAUGUGCCAAGGCAACAAAGAAGAACUAACAAAUCUAAAUUUCUUGGCUUGCUGUUUUGUAGAAUAAGAGGGGCAGCGUUCAACAGCACAUCAAGAGAAAAUGGAUGACCAGCAAAGCGGACUAGAAGACUUGAAGCUGAAGUUCUAGGAAUCUGAAGCUGCAAGGGAGAAUUAAAGGGGAGAGAUUGAAAGUUUGAAGAAGCAAGGAGAGGACAAGUUAUGUUAGGCUGCAAUAAAUAUUAUGUGAAGUGACUUGCUGUUUUGAAUGAAUAUAUUGUUUAUCUCGACCCAAAUCAAAUAAUAAGAUUGAAAAAGGGAUAGAAUCUAAUAUUUCAAAUA